rnacentral:rRNA from 1 species
ACCGGCGCACGGGUGCGUAAACGCCGUAUGCAAUCUACCUUUUGCAGAGGGAUAGCCCAGAGAAAUUUGGAUUAAUACCUCAUAGUAUAGUACUUUGGCAUCAAGGAACUAUUAAAGUCACAACGGCAAAAGAUGAGCAUGCGUCCCAUUAGCUAGUUGGUAAGGUAACGGCUUACCAAGGCUACGAUGGGUAGGGGUCCUGAGAGGGAGAUCCCCCACACUGGUACUGAGACACGGACCAGACUCCUACGGGAGGCAGCAGUGAGGAAUAUUGGACAAUGGGCGCAAGCCUGAUCCAGCCAUGCCGCGUGCAGGAUGACGGUCCUAUGGAUUGUAAACUGCUUUUAUACAGGAAGAAACACUCCGACGUGUCGGAGCUUGACGGUACUGUAAGAAUAAGGAUCGGCUAACUCCGUG